rnacentral:rRNA from 1 species
GCAUAUCAAUAAGCGGAGGAAAAGAAACCAACAGGGAUUGCCCUAGUAACGGCGAGUGAAGCGGCAACAGCUCAAAUUUGAAAUCUGGCCCUCGGGUCCGAGUUGUAAUUUGUAGAGGAUGUUUUUGGUGAGGUACCUUCCGAGUUCCCUGGAACGGGACGCCAUAGAGGGUGAGAGCCCCGUCUGGUUGGAUACCGAUCCUCUGUAAAACUCCUUCAACGAGUCGAGUAGUUUGGGAAUGCUGCUCUAAAUGGGAGGUAUAUGUCUUCUAAAGCUAAAUAUUGGCCAGAGACCGAUAGCGCACAAGUAGAGUGAUCGAAAGAUGAAAAGCACUUUGAAAAGAGAGUUAAAAAGUACGUGAAAUUGUUGAAAGGGAAGCGCUUAUGACCAGACUUGGACUUGGUUGAUCAUCCUGGGUUCUCCCUGGUGCACUCUUCCAGUUCAGGCCAGCAUCAGUUCAUCGCGGGGGAUAAAGGCUUCGGGAAUGUGGCUCCCUCGGGAGUGUUAUAACCCGUUGUGUAAUACCCUGCUUUGGACUGAGGUUCGCGCAUCUGCAAGGAUGCUGGCGUAAUGGUCAUCAGCGACCCGUCUUGAAACACGGACCAAGGAGUCGUCUUCGUAUGCGAGUGUUCGGGUGUUAAACCCCUACGCGUAAUGAAAGUGAACGCAGGUGAGAGCUUCGGCGCAUCAUCGACCGAUCCUGAUGUUCUCGGAUGGAUUUGAGUAAGAGCAUACGGGGCCGGACCCGAAAGAAGGUGAACUAUGCUUGUAUAGGGUGAAGCCAGAGGAAACUCUGGUGGAGGCUCGCAGCGGUUCUGACGUGCAAAUCGAUCGUCAAAUAUGAGCAUGGGGGCGAAAGACUAAUCGAACCUUCUAGUAGCUGGUUUCCGCCGA